UCACAGAGCACAUUCAUUUAAAAUGGAGAGGAAGAGGCAGACAAAGCAGCUCUCUUUGGUGCCUCUGAAAGGCUUGGCUACAAAUGAGUGUGAAAUUGUCUGAAAUUCUGGCAGCAGAUAAAAUUUGGGAAGCAGAGGCAAAAAGAAAAGAUAGAGGAAGUAGCAAAGAAAGUAAUUCCACCGUGGUGGGACAAGGGUCACCACGGAGGUUUGCCUACCCCUUCCUCUCAGAUACCAUUUGCAGUCAGAUGAAUUUGUCCCCAGGAUCUUAUCUCCAUAUGCUGGAGUUAACAGGGC